rnacentral:rRNA from 1 species
UACGUAGGGGUGCAAGCGUUGUCCGGAAUUAUUGGCGUAAAGAGCGUGUAGCGGCUUUACAGGUCCGUUGUGAAAACUCGAGGCUACAACCUCGAGACGCCGGUGGAAACCGUAAAGCUAGAGUCCGGAAGAGGAGAGUGGAAUUCCUGGAUGUAGCGGUGAAAUGACGCAGAUAUCAGGAGGAACACCGUGGCGAAAGCGGCUCUCUGGGACGGUACUGACGCUGAGACGCGAAAGCGUGGGGAGCAAACAGG